AGGAAUACAUCGGAAUCUACUCUGUCGUGGGGGAGUAACGUAGGGAAACUUACGCUAAUACCGCAUACGACCUACGGGUGAAAGCAGGGAUCUUCGGACCUUGCGCGAUUGAAUGAGCCGAUGUCGGAUUAGCUAGUUGGCGGGUAAAGGCCCACCAAGGCGACGAUCCGUAGCUGGUCUGAGAGGAUGAUCAGCCACACUGGAACUGAGACACGGUCCAGACUCCUACGGGAGGCAGCAGCC
rnacentral:rRNA from 1 species